AAACCCCAGUUCUGGCUUUGAAUUCAGACUGGGGCUGGAACUGUUUACUGAAGCUGAAUCCCAGCAAAACAGCAGCAUAACAACGGUAAAACUGUCUCGAGAAAUACCAAGAAUAUUUUUUCCCUACUUCUGGAGCAACCCAGUGAUGUAAUACAAUGGUUUUCAGUGAUGGAAAUGGGGCUGGAUUUCAAAUGAUUUAGAAGCCCAUUCAAUAAGAGGUUGAAGCACAUGCUUAAGUCAAAACACAUGAGUGCACCAGAACUACUCAUGAGCUCAAAAGUAAGAUACCUGUUGCUGAGCUGGAGCCUUAGGGUACAGCUUGAAGUUGAGGCUAAACUAAUGUAGAGUUAGUGUUGCUGGAAGUGAUUGGUCCUCUCCUGGUUUUCUUCCCUGCAGUGGCUCACGCUGCAGUGAGACAAAUGCUAUUGGUACAACAACAAAUUGGAAGCAACACUGUUGCUUCCCCAGCAACAUGAAGAAGUAUUUGUCUUAUAAAAACAGGAGAAGUCUCAGUUAAUACCGAGAGUCAGUGGAGAAGUGCUGGAGCGAAUUUCUGUACUAACGUGAAGUCCAUGAUGGAUUUCAUGAGCUGCAGCCUGCUAGAGAAUGAAGUAAGGGGAACAAGUAUUUUCCUUAGGUUUAAUAUGUUGUGCCCAUUGGAUCGCAGCCUCUCAAUGACAGUCCAGCUUUUGACAGACGGCCUCAUUUAUCCUUGCUCAUACCCAGCUCUGCUCUGCUGGCAUUGUGCACUCCUGUAGGGCUUUUUUUUGGGGGGUAGAGGUUGGAAUUAGCCUGACUUGAACAACUAGGCUGAGGAACACUGAACAGUAAAAUAAAGUCCUGAUGACAUAUUUGAACUCUUGUAGACCAUGGGUUAUCUGAUCUGCAAGGUCACUGCUAUUCUCUGGGAAAGUUUGAAAGAAUCUGCUCUCGUUUCAAGCUUAAAGGGCCCUUCUUGACAACAUGAGGAUGCAGAUUCACUUUGUCUGAACUAUAUGCAUAGGUGAAUGUUUCAGAGUAUUUACUACCUGUAUAUUUUUUUCUUUCCUUUGCAUUUAGAAGCUCAUCAAAGGCAGACAGCAUAGAGUUUGUUUUAAUAAAGAGAAAGAAAAAUUGACUCCGACAAGACUACCAAAACCAACUGAAAUGCGGGAAGGAAAACUGUCAUGUAAAAGUGAGAGACCUAAAAAGAACUUUAAAAUUCCUCUUAAUAAUUUAAACUGUCAGCAGCAGCAGAAAUCAGGAAUUAUAUUUCAGACGCAACUUAUGCCAGGCAUGUCUUAAAAAGGGAAAGACAAAGACAAAUUGAUAAUGCCUGAAGAGGCUGUCCCUGGGAAUAAGAAGUGCAGGGUUCGGCCCUGGAAAGCCAAGCAUCUUUUCCACUCUUCUGUCUGUAAAAGAGAGGAAUGAUGGUCCUUGGUCUUAGUGACUCUAACAGAUGCAGUCGGGGAAGCAGUAGGAAAAUAACAUCAUUAAAACUUCUGUCUUUCUGUAUUUAUGAAAAGUCAGGUUUGUGCCUUGCUCUAAAUGUUUGAGGCUAUUACAGUACAAAGAUUUGGUAUUAAUAUGAUUAGGUUAACAGUAUUUUUUCUGUAAUACGUAUCAUGAAGUCCUGUCAGAAUGAAAUUCAAUGCUAAAAACAUCAAAUAAUAGCUUUCACAGACCAUUAAUGCUUAAGGCUCCAGCGUGGGAGUUAUUAUUACAAAAGGACCCUGAAAUGCUGCUAGCUCUUACUCUUACAUCAGAAUAUACCUUAAGUUAGAGGUAUUUUCCCCCCAGGCUUUGUUUGCUCCAAUAUGAUGUAAGCUCUUGCUCUGACUGUUACGUUGGUAAACAGACCGGCUUAGCUUUGUGGCUGGGUUCUUGCAGUAAAGCCAGGAUCGUGGAGGAGGGAUUGGAGGGGUUGUUCCCAUCCUCCCACAGGGAUCUGAAUGCACAAACUCUUGGCCACUUCGUCCUUGCUGGCUGUGGCAGGCAAUCGCUCCGUCUUUUCCAGACCCUCCAUUGCCUUCGGUGGCGGUGCUGUGCAGCAGGAUGGGCGGCGGUGUCCCUUGUUGGUGUCCCUCAUGCCACCAUGUGUACUGCAGGGAGCAGUGAUGGUUCAUGCCCUCCCCUGAGGGACUGCAAGUUUAAUGUCCUUAAGGAACGUGUAGUUUAUGCAUACAGUGCUGUGCAUUACCCAAGCCAUUCAGAUUUCUCACCUCCCUGCAGGAAUGUGGAUUUGAAUCCAUUUAUUUGACUCCAGGUAGGUGGUAGAGUAUCUUGUGUUUUUCUCCAUGGGCUGAUCUUAUCUUGACAUAAGUCCACAGGUGUCCAUGAAGAUAUUUCAGAGCAGGAAGGAUUCAGUGCAAUGGAGUUAGACAGACUGAUAGCAAAAUGGGCGCUGGUGCCUUUGGUAGGAAUGCCUACUACUCUCCCUCAAUAAAAAGUUUAUGAUUAAUCACCAGAUUGAUUACAUUACCCUUUAAUUAAGAUCAUAAGUGCUGAAGAACUGGGACUUUGGUGUAGUUUUCCUUUGUUAUCUCUUCACCGUGGCUCUGCAAGUGUGACUUCUAAAUGCUUUAUCUGCCUAGGUCUGUAAUUUAUAGCCUGUAUUGGCCAUAAAAGAUCUUGCAUUGAUUUCCCCUUACUACAAUUGUUCCCACCCCUCUAACAGGGACCUGAGGUCACAUUCUUCCUUGCUAGUGCUUCCACAGCUGGAUCCAUUUUAAUGAAAAGCAAAAAUGUGGGUGAAAAUGUGUUGAUUUCAUUUAUAUAAGAAAGUUACCUUCCUUUUCCCUGGACCUGUUCCAUAGUUUUCCCUGGAGCUCUCAUACAGACACUUGUGGGAACUUCCACAGAAAGCUGCUGAUGCAGGCUGGGCAGCUGUCACAAGUGGUUUAUGGCCACUUUCCUCCUGAGGCAUUUGUUCUUCACAUAUCCAAAUCCUACAUUGGAUCCAGUCCUCAGUAAUGGGGAUGCUACUGCAGUGAGUGCAUCAGUGCUGAAACCCACCUGAAAUCUAAGCUGAAGCACCUUCAUAAGCCAUUCACUGCCUGGCAAGAGCCAGCCCCCAGCCAGAACAGGCUGAGACCUUUGAUGCUAUCAGUCUGGAGAUAAGGAGCAGAGUGGCCAGGCCAGCUGUUGGCUCUCACUGCAUGCCCGGUAGCCAGCCCUUAAGGCUCCUCACAGUGCUCUCAGGAAAUACCACUUUUUAACAUUUAGUUCAAGUGCAGACAGGCGUUGGAGUUGGGUAAGGAUGAGGCCACAGGUCUGUUACACCACUUUGGGGUCAAGUUUAGUACGUGGUCUCUGCCAGAUUUCAGCCACGCAGCCCAGGAACUCGGCUGGAAAUGCCACUCAGACACAGGCAUUGGUGCUCCCGUGCUUCUUCUCACCCAGAAAGCCGGGUCCUGGCCUCAGGCUGGAUCUUUCCUGCUCUUCCAGCGAGGGAAGCUGACGCAUUUAACGAGCCUUUUGCAUGCGCCAUCCCAGCUCCUCUUUGGAAGUCCUCUGCCCCCUUGCUCCAGCUGGCUGAGCCUCGCGCACCGUGGUUAUCUCAUCUCAUCUCAGUUAAGUGUUUCAGAUGCAAUUGCAUAUGGGUAUGCAGUUUCAGACUGGUUUCAAUAAUACGUAAUAAUAGUAAUGAUAGUGAUAACAAUACCUGAUGUUAUAGACGAGAAAAAUAAAACUAUUGUCUCAAAACAUAUCUGACAAGCAGUACAACGGUGUUACAUACUUGGAAGAGGGGGGAAUGGGAAUUACUUCACACGUUUCCCUCCCGUGAGCCUUGUCUAGCCUGCAUGUUACGUCGGGGAGACGGAAGCAUCUGCCUGAGAAAUGUGGCAUGAGCUCAGGUCGGGGCAACAGGCUGCCUCCCACACAGCCCAUUCAAAACGACGGCACUAUCAGAUGGAAAGAGGUUACAGACAUAGCGUAGUGUAUCAGUCUGUUAAGUAUCUUUGCAAUGGUUUCCCACAGCACUUCGCAGCUUGUUUAACGUAUCGCGAUUAACCAGUAAGCUCUGCAAGAACGUCUUACGGCCGCUGGAAAUACAAGAAGCAACCUCAAGGACCACAGCAGACGACAAACAUAAUAACGGACAGUAAGCCUGUAUCUGCUGCCUCUCCUGAAAGAUGCCCACGACUGGCAGGGUUCCAAAGUAUUGGAAGUUUAUUCCGAAUAUUUUUGUUUGAGAGCUUUCAGCAGCAGAGAUGUUGGUUGUUGCAGCGCGCCGGGUGAAACGUUGCAAAGCCACAAGGUUUCUCGCUGAGCACAGAAUAAUCAGUUAUCUGGCUGAUUCUGAGAAAAAAAAAAAAGUCUUGCUCGUGAACUGAGCGUAGCGAGAUCUUUCAGUUGAGUCUUUCUUCAGAUAUGACAGCUGGCAAAUGUCUUCUCCGGUGCGCCAGCUUGGCAAGAAAGUCAAACAGAGAAAACCAGCAUUUUUUAUUACACUUUUCACCUCCUCCUCGCCGUGCAUCUUUGCUUGUUUGCUGUUUGGCAGAGUUUGGCGAUUGCUAAUGGGAUUCGCCAACCUUGCAAGUGAGAAAGUUUCUCACCCUGUUAUCGAGAUCAAUGGUUUCCUCCAGUUCUAAUUGCAAAACACUUUCUUUAUCAUGAAAAUCUGAAAUUUCCAUAAAUAGCUUUCCCAAGGGCUAAGUAAGUGCUGAACAAAAACAAAAACAAAGGGAGAGGAAAUACAAUGAAAAUAAAUAACUUGAAUGCAAAGCCAUACCAAAGCCUGGAUUGUUUCAGGAGGAGAGUUUGGGAGGCACUGAGCACCUUGAGAGCUGAUCUGGGCACUGAUGAAGCUCAGCAUGGAAGUGCCAAAGCAUCCUACAAGCCCACUCAGAGCAGCCCGUCAGCUUUUCUUCUGGGGUCAGACUGUGACAAAGUCCAAGGCUGAUUCAACGCGGUAUUAAACCACGGGUUUCAGUUGUAGAGAUGAAGGAAAGACAAACUGGCAGAUGACAGAUAGCAGAAGUAUAUCUGAGGUGAAAUUUCUCGGUACCGAAAUGCUGGUAAACUAAAUGGCGCCUUUCCACAACUUAACUCCCCCAGAUCCAGAAUAGUUUACUGCGCGGGUCUCUGUCAUGCCAUAGAAACCUGACGUGCGGUAUGUCAGCAGUGAAGUAAUAUUGACAGACAAAUACGGCUAUUGUAUUCAUAAACGUUCGCUUUACAAAGCUAAGCACGUUGUAGCAAAAUAUCCUUAAUGCUAGCAUGAUAGACAGCAAUGUAAUCAUUGUCCUGGGUGAAUUGAGAACACAAACAAAAAUAGAUUAGCUAACAACUAAAUUGUAUUUAUCUUGCUUGACAGGGCUGGUUCAGUGAUGAGUCAUUCUCAGAUCUAAUGCCACCGCCAUCUCCAGUGUUGUUGGUAAUUGUUACUGCUGAGAGAAAAGGCUCUGACAGUCUGAAUGCUGAAGAAGCAAAGGAGCGCUAGUUUGCCUGGCGUGGGAGUGCUAGCAUUAGCCUGCCUGAGCCCCAGCAGAGGCAAUACACCAAUUAGCUGCAUACUUCCUUGAACUGUGCAGCUGGGGGCUCGGCCAGCUGGGGCCAUGGCAGGUCUGGUAGGGCUUUUAGGAGGGCAGAGUUGUUCUUCCAGGCAGGAUUGUGGCUGAGGGCCUGACACGUCUCCCACAUAAGCUGCCCCGUCCUCGUGCUGCUGCUGCUGCACAUCCCUCCCCAGCGCAGGCAGGGGUGAGAAGAGCCACAGCACAGAGGGCCCAUGAACUGCCACAUGAGCUCUGGGAAGCCCUGAGACACAGCCAAGGUGAUAUGCUUACAUGGUGAGGAGGAAACGCUGGGUGAGCUUCUCUGGGGAUUAGCAGCAUUCUACACUUCUGAUGGAGAGUAAUUAUCUUUUUGAAAACAAUUGUCAGAUUACUUUUAAAUAACAAAACUUUGCAAGGAGGUAGUCAGGUUCCAGGUAGAAACGUGUAAGGGAAAACAAAUAUUCACAGCAAGAACGGGCAUGAAAAAGAUCGGGCUUGAUGCUGAUCAAGUUCACAUCUGCUUGAAGGCCCAGCCCAAAGAGUGGUGGGGCAGCAGAGCCAAACUCAAUGGGAUGGCACGGCUGCCAGCCCCGUACAGGUGAGACCAAACUCAGAUCGCUAUCGUUUUGUGGUUUUCCUUUUUGCGUAUCGACAGGGAGGAAACGUGAAAGCCAUCAACUGUUGUGCAAAACAAAACACCCUGCCUAGGGUUGGCGGAGGCCGCCUGCCUGGGACUGCUGCAGGACAUGGCCACAGAGCAGGCCUCGAUUCAGGCUGCAGCGGGCACCGCGUGGCCUUGGGUUAGUUGUUGCCAGAGCAAAUUGGCCUGGUGGCUCCUGCACAGAGCCAGCCGGCCGUGUGCGACACCAGGGCUCAGCCAGGCAUGAAAAUAUAAAAUGAGAGAAUAAGUUAAACCACCACAUUCUUGGGGGAGAUGUUAAUGGGUGACAGCUAUCCCAUACCACCUCGGCCUCUGUUCUUUCAUCAGGAUCCAUUACUUAGUUUUUCUUUGUGUGCGCGAUGAUGCUUUCAUGAAAAACAAGCCUAUGGAAAUACUGAAUAGCAGUAGGUCAGAAGAAGUGAAGGAUGCAAAACUGCAGUUUUCCCAUGGCCUGAAAAUGACUCCCUCCCUGGCUUAGGGCAGCCACAGGUAUGCUGUUAAUUUUAAGUCCUCUUGCCAGAAGGCUAUAAAAUGUCUUUUCAUCUUACGUUACAUAAGUAUCCAACAAAUAAGAAGACUGUUAUUACAAAGGCAACCACACUGAAAAAAGGUUUCAUUUACUCUGAAAACCUGCAUUAAAAGACUUCUGAUGUCUCUAUGUAACGUUUAGGUUGCUGAGCACUUGGAGAGGAAAAUUCAUUGAAUUCUUCUUUAAAAAGAAAAAGGAAUUUAACCAGAAUCUGGGAUGCUACCAGGAACCACGUGAUUGAUCUUCAGUUAAGCAUUACGAUAACGUACUCUCUAAAGAUGAGUUCCCUUAGACUUCCAGCAUACCAGACAGCUUUCUGGAAAGCUAUGCUAAUAUUUAGCACCAAAUAACAAUCAAGCAUUCUAGCAAUCAUUCUGAACUAAACAAAACAUACAUCCAUAUGUCACAGAAGUGAAAACUGUGAGGUGCUAAAUGCAUCUUAAGAUGUGAAAAUACAACUUAGGCUGAGGAUGCUCAGGAAUUGAGAGAAAGUGCCCAGAAGACCCAGAAAGGGUCCUUAUAUGUUUCAUGGUCAAAUAAAAAAUUCUGCCUGGCUUCAUUGGUUGCUGAAUCAUUGCUUUGUAUUUUCAUAUGAUUUUCUCCAGGAAAAUAAAAUGUGUUUCUGUGAGAGUAAGAUGAAGACAUCGUGACAGUGAGGCACAGGAGGAUGCCUCUGCUAAGGGGAUUCAGCAGGCAUUCAACACACCUCUUAGCAACUAAGGAGUUCUUCCCAAAGUUGUUUAGUUGUAUUAAGUCCUUCCGCAUCCUCACAGGCUGGGAGGAACUGCAUAUAUUUAAGAUAUGCUCUAAGUCAGUUAACUUCCAGGCAGUAAGGAACCCUCACCUGCUCAUUUCACAGGGAAAAAAAAAAAAGCCCACAAUAGAAAACACCAUGUGCGUGUUGACAUCCUGCUUGUGAACCAAUAUUGUCACAAGCAAGAGGUGGGAAAGAGCAGGCCAAUUAAUGAAUGUGAACUGACUUACACUUAGCUAAAAUUAGGUACAAUAUCCUGUCUGAAGUUAUUACAAUUAACUAAAUAAAUACACCUUCUCAGUUAAUUAUUUUUGUAAUACCCUUGUGCCUAGAGGCCACAUUUGAGACUGAGAGCCAUCCGCACUAAGCGCUGCAUGCACACCCAGUGAAGACAGCCCAGUCUUGAACAGCUUGCUGUUCACAUAGAGGAAAAGGACUAAAGAACGAAAUCAUUCUUUAUUAUCUGUGUUACAGAAACAGACCUAGAGAAACCGAAUCCUCUUGCCCAACACCAUAUAAGAGUUAUUUGGCAGGACUCAGAAGCAAAGAGAGAAGAUGGGUACCCAAUUUAUUCCCUAGCACAAACAACAACGUCGUCUUUUACCAGAAGACUUCUCAUACAUGGGAUAGUUCUGGACUCUUGUUUCUCUACAUUGCAUUCAUUCUUUUUUGAAUGCAGCACAGCAUGUCAUAGCUAGAGCUGUUGAUUUCUCCUGGCUCCAUCCAUCUCACCUGUGUGAAACACAGCUAUUCUAUAAUGAUGAAUGAUGCCUUACUCGCAAAAAUUCAAGGCCUCAAGCUUACAUGUCUGUGAACAUACAGUUUCUGUUGGCUGCUUUCAAUUGCUUGAGUUCACAUUUGUCCUUCCUCAAAUCUAGAUACAUUACACCAUUACACCUUUUUGUAAUGAUGAAUAAGCUAUGUAGCAAAAACCUUUAAAGUAUAAUGGCAAGGGGAGUAAAUGUGUUUUUUAUAUAUAUGUAUAUAUAUCCAGAAAUAGCCUGUUCUUUCAGGUUAAAGUGGCUGUCCAGUAUAGCAUCACCUCUUGGAAAUAAGCCCCAAAAACUUACUUUUCUAGCAAACACUUUGUCUUCAAUAACUAAGCUACUGUUGUCACCAUUAGCAUCUCCUGAACAGUUUACACCACAUACUUGUGCACAUAGGAAAUAAAAUCAUCAAAGCAGAAACUGAACUGCUUGCUGGCUCCUUCUGCCUGCUGAAGAAAAAGGUUUAGACAUCCACAGAAAUACAGUGUGGCCGGUGUGUGGUGACUUGACUCUGUUUUAAGAGACCUCCUGCAGUGACAUCAUCCAGCAUCACAGCUCUAAAGCUUUGGCCUUUCCCUCCUCCGACACGAAGCAGUGCAGUGAUGUGACUAGCAGACACUUCUCAAUGUUUCUUUUCUCUUUAUCUGCUGAAAGCAGAUCUCAUAAGGAGACUGAAAAUCAUGAGGUUUUGAAGUGCUAUUCCUACAACUUUACCAAAGAACCUCAAAUUCGUGAACCAGGCUUUGACGGAUACAUUCUGCAGUCAAUCAGCUAUACUUGUGGAUUUGAGAAGGUUUGAAAAUUUGGCCCAAAAUAAAUGGUCUGUUCUUCUUGUAAUCUUAACUGUGGAGUUAGUGUAAUGAAUCAGCAAAGAAAAUUUAUUUUUCCAGCAGUUUAGCUAUUAAAUAUGACUUUCUGUGAGUCCUUGAGGCUGCCCAGAGCUUCCAACAAGUCAACCUCUGUGCCAUCUUCCCAGCCAUAAAAUUGUUUUCUGCUUCUUUGCCAGGCUGAAUGUUCUAGGAAAAGCCCAACAGACAAAUUACAGAUCGAUGAACAAAACAAUUAUUUUUCCCAAAUAGCCACAUGCCUGAAAGAAAAUCUUUCUUUAAAUAGCAUGGAUGUAUAAUUUGAAUUCAUUCAUAUUUUAUAGUUCCGGAAUAUUUGUUUACCUGAAACCCUGCAGCUUUCAGAACCAUAUUGUAAAGCAAUGAAAAAGACCAGCGGCAUUGGUGGCCUGGGCAUCUUCCUUUCUGAAGUUUCCUGGCUGACAGCAUGAAAAAAAAAAGAGUCCUCUGUGUUUGAUGAAUGCAAGAACCAGGUUUGUAAGCAUGGAAAGAGCCUUUAGAAACACAAGUGAGGUUUUUAUCCCUGGCCCCAGUGUCAUCCAUCUUGGAAAGCUUUCUGUUUUUAUUAUUUUAAACAGGUCAGCAACAGUAAGAUGGGAAACUAGAUUUCAAAACAGAUGUCUCUGCAGCGCUUCAUCAAAACAUUGUAUGAUUUCAGACGGAAAUUUAAUAUUGGAUGCCUUGCACAUUACCUAACCUGUUGGGGAUAUGAACCCCCAGCCUCUGAAACAGCAGCACCCCUAUUUCAGCAGCCGUGCUGCUUUGUCCCAUGCCAGCUCAUCACACAGAGGCUGGAUGAGGCUCCAAGCACCCUAAUCUAGCUGUAGGUGUCUCUGUUCAUUGCAGGGGAGUUGGGAUAGAUGACUUUUAAAGGCCCCUUCCAACUCAAAUGAUUUCAUGGCUCACCACACACCUCCAGCACCCAGCUCUUGCAGGUUGGGGCUGGGGGUCUCUCCACUUUACUGCUCCCCACAGGGCACAGAUUUUGGUCCCCAACACCAUGGCUAGUCCCUUCACAUCUGGGGUACAGCCCAGUAGCUGUUUUUCUCUCUCCUGUGCCUGUGGAUGGCAGAAGCACACUCUGGCCCCCCAUAGCACUGCAUGCCGACGCUCUGUCUCUAGGAAAGUAAUUUGGGAAGAACAACAAAGACUUCUUCAGAGAACUUCCUUGCAGAGAAGGUUGUGGUUGUCUUGCUAGCUCUCAAAAUUAAAACUACGUUUCAGUCAAAAAAUGCCUAUUCAGACUGACAUCAAAGGGAAAAACGUGAGCAGGUCAAGGAGUUUAAUUUCCACGGCACUCGUGAUUCACAUGUAGGGCUCGGUAAUGACUUACUGCCCACUGGCAAAAGAAAACUGUGAAUGAAGAGAGAAGUGAGGCAGACGAACGGCGCGGUGCCGCUUUCAGCCAGCAGUGCAGUGCUGUGGCCCAGCUCUUCAUCUGCAGCAGCCUUGGUGAGGAUGGCAGAGAUGCCCCUGCCCAAGGGUGUCACCCCAGGUGCCCCCCGGUGUGCUGGUGCCUUCACCCCCUGUCACCCUCUAGAGAGCAGGUUCCUUUCAGACACCUCAAGCCAGAAACAUUUGGGCCCUUCUGAAAAGCUGGGUCUCAGGCCGUGCAUCUCAAACCCUGCUCUCAUACCAGCAUUUAAACCUUUAGAUAUCUCCAGUUAAGGUGAAGGACUAUGUCUCAAGGUAUGAAGGCGGGAGGUAUGUAAACCUUUUAACAGUGUCUGUAUGUUCUCCUACUACUCCUUAUUUGCUUUUCUCAUGGGACGAUCCAACAAGGCAUUACAGGCUGUUGAUAAAUAGAUUUUCAGCCCAUUUCGUUUAACCAUUACUGCAUUUCCAUAUCAAAGAUUUUACACUUGGCAUGCCCAAGCCUAUUUUAUUUGUAAUCUUUUCUCAAAUGAGAAGUUUGGAAUGUUUUUUCAUUAUGUGUUUCAUCUGCAGCACACUGCCUUGGUGUUAUUUUUGAGAUGAGAUCUUUUACUCUACCUCGAGUCAUUCUACAACUCGUCGGCUUUUAUUUAUUCUGGCCUCCCAAUCUAACAGAAUUUCUGUGUUGAAACUUGUUGCUAUUUUUUUCCAGGGAUACACCGUACGAUGUUAAGCCUGUGCUGUGUAUCAAAGUGCAAAUAUAAACUAGUUGAUAGUCUCUGGUCACACCCUGGUAGGUGUGGCAGUUGGGAAUUUUUCACUUUCUGGCUGGAGAUCAGAAUGUGCUUAGCAUGGUUCCCCAUCCAGCAUCUUGGUCGGGAGGGGACUGGCUGCCUUCUGCAUGCAUGUUGUUUGAAGGGUUGGGAGCCACAUAGUUGUACCACUUCCAAAAGCAGAUUUUUACUUGUUUGGCUAUAUUUAGAGCUGCAAUCGGGAGAUCUGAGGGUAUGAUAAUCCAGUGCCUCACUGUCUUUCUCCUUCCUCUCGUUCUUUCUCCCUGUCACUUUGGGGGUGAGAGGAUGGACCAAGCAUAGCUCUAGUGUCAGCCUCCAGCAUGGUGCAGAACUGCGCUACUCCAAGAGAAACUCCAAGGAGGAAGUGUGACUCAGAGAGCUGCAAUUCCUUCCACGGUUCCUCCUUGCUCCAGCCGGGGAAGUAAGUUACUUCAAUAUUUGUGCUGCUAGAGUACAGCUUGCUUCCGCCCCGCUGCUUGCAAGCCCCAGCUUGCAGAACGCAGAGAGAGAAUGCUCUGAGCCAGAACCUGCAAAAGGUGGCUUGCCUCCUUCUGCUCCUUGGCUGCCCAUGUGAGACAGGGACCAGUCCUGCCCUAGAUGAGGUUUCACUGCAAGGAGUCACCUCAAAGCCAUCUGCCUAAACUGGCCUUCCAGUCAUUCUGCAGAGAUGCACACCGCUGGCUGUCUUGUCAGGCAUCAUUUACAUUAAUAUCACAAACAGCACACUACCUGUGAGACGACUUCAUGCUGUCUUUUUCUACCUAGAUUGCCCACUUUUCUGCUCCAUUUUCAUAGUCUUUCGUACAAUUAGACAAUCCCUAUCAGAGUAAUGCACAGCUCACCAGACACUUGCCUCUCAGAUAAUCUAUUUCCCACUGACUUAUUUUCCAUCACAAUUAUUCAUUAUUAUACCCAGAGACUGGCAAAGGAUUUGCAGGUAAUAAUUCCCUUGCCAAAACAAAAACGCUAAUAAGGGUAUUUGUAGGGAAACAUUCAUAAUCAGUGUUUCUUCAUUUGGAGUGCAAUCAUAAGGCCCAAGAACACCAACUGGUAUGUGACUUAUUUGCAAACGAUACAAAGGACUCCUCACCUGCCUCACAUACUGCUUAGCAGCAACACACUUUGGAAAACCAUAUGAAGUUCAUAGCUUUUUUUACACACACACACACACACACACACACACACACACACCCCUCUUCAUGCAGAAAUACUGCACUACAAGGAGACCUUUCACUGGGGACACUUUAAAGACAUUCUGAUAUGACAGCCAAAGGUUGUGUUAAUUGAGACAGUGUCAAACAAGAGUAGAUGAUGAUGAAUACUUCAGUGAUGCACAGGUCUGAAAACUAAAAAAGGUCAGAAAAACAAGAGAGGACAAAACUCAUCCAUAAGCACAUCAACUAGAUGGUCCAGGUAGGAAUAAAACCACCAUGCUUGUUGCUGUACCCUCCAAGGUUACCAGGGAGAGGUUUUCAGGAAGUAUUUUGCAGUUAAAAAAAAAAAGAAGAGUAAGAAUCAACUUGAGAAAAUAGGUCCGUUCCUCACAUGUUCAGCAGCACAGAAAUGCACACUCAUAUACACAAUCAUACUUCCUGCCUGAGUGAUAGCAAUCUCCAAAAUAGCCCCUGAAAGAAGAUUCAGGCUAUUGGACCAGCUGCUGCUUUCAGUGAAGUGGACUGAACAUAGGUCUGAAUCCCACUCUAUGUGGGAUUUUGUGUACCAACACGUAUAAAGCUCAUCCUUGUGUUAGAAGAUUUGAAUGGCACCAGUGCUAAUUCAGCUGUCCACCUGGCAAGCAUCUAGAGAGACACACACAGAAAGAGAAGCACUACUCAUUUGAGUCUUCACUCCUAGACUGGAAAUAACUGAUGUAAGUGAAGCGUGCAGUGCAAGUGUGCAAAAGUUACUUUCAUUUUGCACCAGUAUAUUCAGGAAUUUUAAAUAAGCUCAGUUAAAAUGAUCAGUUGAACUACUUUGACAGUGUUGUAAGAAAUCCUUAUGUGGCUAAUUCUUAAAUGUCAUCAGACAGCAGACCAAUUGUGCUCAAGCGCACAUUGUUACCCCAGGUAGCAGAUAACUUCCUGUGUUGAAACGAUGGCUUGAGAGUGAUAUACUUGCAGACAAGGAAAUAUCAUCUUCCAGUCCUGCUGUGUCUUAAAGUGAUCUACGAGAACUCUUUCUAGCUCGGUGCCUGUGUUUAGCCAAGGUAUUAGACGCAUUCAGGAUGUAUUAAACUCAUACACCUUCUAAAUUACAUGAUACAUGGAGUUCACACAGCUAGCUAAUUCAGUCAGAUGUGUAGUGCUAACAAUAACCAAAUAUAUCCAAUGUUACUUGUCUAGCUAUGGAAUAAAUAUGCUUGAUGGUGCUUAAUUAUACAGAUAUGUAAUGGGCACCUUCACCGCUUUCUAUAGUUAAAAUCCUGUUCCCAAUGCUUAGUAAUAUGGAACAACACUUUUGAAGUGGAGGAAUACUUUGGAAUAAAAAUCAUUCCUAUUUCACACUUUGGCACUCUGAACACAUAAUCCAAAAAUAGGGGAACGGAACCUUCAGCGGAUCAAAUCACGCACAGAACAGAAGUAUACUGGAAAUAAUUCCAUAAAGUCAACUCCCAGGACAAUGGGAUCGUCCCCAGUAAGUACUGCUUCAGCAACACUGGCUGAAUGAUUCACUGUGAGCAAUUCAGUGAAAAUAUCAGUGUUUUGUACAGCCUUCCUUUUUCUUUUUCUCCACGUUCCUCUUUCUCUUCCUCAUCUUCUUUUUAACCUUUUCUACCUCCCACCUUCUGUUGCCGCACAUGCAAGACCUAAGGAGCUAAAUGAACACAUACACAAGAAACAGAUGACAGAGCAGUUUGGCAGAAUGAAACAACCCAUGAGUAUAGAAGAUGGUAAAACAUCAAUAAUCAGUAUUGACAUCAGACAUUAUCAAAGAAAGGGUUUAUGCCCUGCAUUGUUUCAGUUCCUGAGAACGCCUCUUGCCUUCCACAUUGUAAAAUAUAGCCCAAACAAAAUGCAGCUAAGAAAAAGGGAAAAUUCUUCUCUACAUAGGAUUUAAUACUGCACCCAUCACUGCAGUAUCUGAGAGCAAGAUAUUCUAUUGCGGGCGUGGUGCAAAGUUCAUGGAAUAUCAAGUGUUGGUAAUCUGUGCUCUGAGCCUGUGAAUGUACGUGCAAAUGGAUCAGAUCCACAGCUGGCAUCUGUCUGGCUCCAGAUCUGGUCCAGUAAGUUUCUAAAGAGUAGUUCAAGACAGACCAUUGAAAACUUCCAAAGAAAGUCCCAGAGCACAUGACAGAAAUGGCCAAGUGGGACAGCACAGUAGAAGAAAGAAAUCCUGUGGGUUCAUUUCUUUAAAGCAUAAAAGUCAUUAAUCAUUUCUAUUCCUUUCCAUUCAAAACAGCUGCCUGCCCACAUUUGCUAAGUAACUGCUUUCCUAACCACACAGAAACUAGGCUGCGGGCCCCAGAAUGCUCAUGCUUCCAGAUAUUAAUAAAUAUUUCCCUCUUUCACUGUGUCAAUGAGAGCACAUUAGCAUCCUCAGCAUCUGGUUUUAGUCGUGAAAUAAUAUGUUAAUGUCUCCACACUUGGCGAAUUCCUUCCAAAAAAAAUCCUUCUUAGUGCUUAUCUUUCAGCUGAGGCUUCAGAAGCUCAAAAGCAUGGCUUGAAAACCUCAGUGGCCUUCUACCUGUGAUGCAGGACAGCACUCUUUGUCAAGUUAGAAAUGAUCUCUUUGAUCACACUCAUUUGUUUGUCUCCUCAUAGAGCUGAGUUACGCUUCCCACGUGAGCCCUUCGCUUCAAAAAGUCCACUGUCAUCCCUACAGGCUACUGCAAUUAGUGAAAUGCCAGCCAGCAGGUGGAGACGCAUGAAAGCAAUCUCAAUUCAUAGACAGGCUGCUUUGACAUUUCAUUCCCAUAGCCCUGGCCAAGCACUAGAGCGGGCCAGAGCCAGAGAAUAUAGCUAUUGGUUUCAUGGAAAAGUUCAGAAUUAAAAUCUUGGCUGGCUGACAAACAUGUGACAGAGCAGCUUCUCCAGCAUGACUGCUGCACACAAAGCCGCACUGGCGAGCCGUCCCGGCAGCACCUUUCAUGUACAACGCAGGGAGGGGAGCCCGCUGCUGCCUUCCUCCUGACCUCGCCUCAUUCACUCUGCUCAGCAGUGCCGAGCUGUCAGCAUCAGCUGUGCCGAGCCAUACGAGGGGCCACGCAUGCCAUGCCUUGUGUGCUCACGUUUGGCCUCGUGCCGGGCGAGGGUGGGCUCUGGUGGCUCAGCACCCAGAUGCGUUCCCACCUAUCUGCUGUGGAAGCUCAGCCCGAGAUGGCACGAAACAGCUUUGCUUCCUCUGCUCCUCUCCUAACUCCUCCCACCCAGCGCUUCCUCUUUCAGAGUGGAAACAUCAUUGUAAUAGCUAUUUCUGAAACGUCCCUGCCAAAAAUCAGGAAGCACAGAGGAAUACUUCAGGGCGAGGAGGGGGAAAAGGUAUCUCGCGAGUUAUUUCGGGAGUAGGGAAUUUGUUUACAUUAGUUUGGGAGGAAAGCCGAGGCUAAUCCCGUGUUGUCUUCAGACCAAUCAUUACGUUUCCAGCUCAAGUCUCUCCGUGCUUUAGGAACUAAACUCUCUAUGCUUUUAGAGACGUGGUUUAACGGGCAAUACUGGUGGCAUGUGGGUGGUUGGACUAGAGGAUCUGAGAGGUCUUCUCCAACCUUAAUGAUUGUAUGAACUGUAAGAAGCUGCAGAAGCGGGUCUGCAGAACACCACACGUGAAUGAGUCAUCUCCAGUGGAAGUACGCCUGUGAUGGGAGCUGUGCCUAAAUGCUGUGCUGAAGUAAAGCACGUGCAUGGAGAUGAAGAAAGAAGGAAGGAGACUGUGUAAAAUUAAUAAAGCUUAGAAUCUCAGCAAAAAUCUGCAAGCGCUUUGAAUCAUUUCAGUGUUUGAACACAGCAUACAAACAAACAGCAUUCAUCAUGAAGAUACUGAAAACAGUGACCCCCUCCGCAGGUUCGGACCCCUCAACACUGUAAUAAUCUGUGGUGAGUUAUCAGAGCUCCCUUGAAUGAGAAGGACGCUUCAAACCUUGCAAAAAAAAAUCAACUUCAGUGCUUCUAAAGAAAUGCAUUUUGCAGCUUUUUCCACUCUUUUGGAUUCUUCUCCUCCCCCUUCUACCUCUCUUGCACUCUUCUCCUUGGAGAGCAGAGUUUAACAUGCCAUUGAGGAGAUAGCCCGCAUGCAAAGUCCCUCAAACAUAAACACACUUAAAGAACAGAUUCAUCACAGCAGGCUUCCAAAUGUGGAAACCACAUUCCAUCUGCACCCUUAUCCAAUGGUCAUUAGCUUAGAUCUUGAAUGGACAUUACUUAAAGCAAAGAUUAUAAAAACAUACAUACUGCUCAACAGUGAUUCAUCAGCUUCCAAGCUCUGCAAUUGAGCUCAGAGUGACUCAGGCUGGGGACUUCUGGAAUGUGCUGCAGGAAUUUGCUGCACUGAGUCUGCAAAGCUGCCUUCAGAUGGUUUCUCUGGCAACUCAGGACAUUUCAUUGAACUCAGGUAUUCUGCAUUUGUUGUCCUUGUCAACAUUUGUGAUAAAAAAAAACUCUUGUUAAGACCCCAGCCCUGAUUUUUCUGCUCAGGUUUGCAGCACUGUAACAUCAGUGACUCCUGUGCUGCCAGCUCUGCAGAGGGCUCAGCACCCACAUCAGCACACUGCUCAGGAGCUACGGAUGACAAUGGUCUCACAUACACAGCCCGGCGAUAAGGUAAAAGUCUACAACGUGUUGAUGUUGAUGUGAGAUGAGGAUGCUCAGCACUUCAGAAAACCAGGCCCUAAGCAAAAGAGGGGAGGGCACUCAGGCCUUUUCAGCAGGCUCUGGGAGCAGAGCUCACCUUGUCACACCUGGCGGCAGAGAGCUGCACAUCAGCUGCUCAUUCACACCCCCCUAGUAGCAGAUGGGAAGAAACAGCACCCGCAGGCUCUGGUUCAUCCUAACUAUCUCAGAUAUUUAGGAGAAGGUGAAUUGUACUCUUAGUACCUUGUGCUAUGGUGAGUAGUUCAGUUAUCACUGCUUACACUAUUCGUAUCUACCUUUGCUCAGCUGCAUCCCAUGUCUCAAUACCUCUCUCAGUAUGUCCUUAAGCCCACGAUAAUUCCACCUCAGGCCAUUGUCAGGAUUUAUACAAAUCACCUCAAGCCUUACUUCUACUUAUCUCAAAGGCACUUUGAUAAAGGAGCACAUUCAAUGAUUAAAAAAAAACCAACAUUGGUCACCUGGUGACGAUGCAACAUUCACCACACACUAAAAGCAACCCCUUCAGGUUUCACUUACAUUAAUAUUUAGGUAUCGGCAGGAAGUGAUGUUCCAAUAUCAUGACUUGGUGAUGUGUUUAUGAUCUGCUGCAUGGACUCAUUCACUGUAAAACAGAAAAAGAUUGUUUAUCAGAUAAAAAAUGGUUAUAGUACAAACCAAAAUGAAGGAAGUACUUUUCUUGUUGAAAUAUUAAGUGAUCUGUUUGGUGCUCCUGCCUUAAAUAGUCUGAGCUUCCCUUAAAAAUUAAAACAUGAAAUUCUCUGUUAUUUGUUUUGAUGCUGUCUUACUAAGAAGUCACAGAGCCUCUUACACUGAAUCCUGUCCUUUACGUCAGUUCUUUUUUUUUUAACUGUGUUUUGCAAAUUCAAACUUCAUCAACCAAACAAAUCUCCCAUUUUGACUACAGAAAAUCUACAAUUGAAUCUGAAUUUUGUAUGUUGGGUUACUCUCUGCUUCCUGUUUGAGAGCACAGUUAUGGCACCCACUUGCAUGAGUUCAUAACUAAUUGAAAUGCUUGCGACAUGAGUAUGUGCUAAACAGAGGAAUUUAACAAAAAAGUUACUACAAGUUGAAGCAAUAAAAUCUUAAAGAGUUAAAAACAGCUCAUUUUUUUCCCCAAGUUGCUCAAGCUAGGAGUUGUUUGCAAUGCACAGAGCACAUCUGGGACUUUAUUCCCUUUUGCAGCGUCCUAUAUACGUAUCUUUUUAGAUUUUAGAAUGCGACAGAGAUCCACGCAGUGAAGCUUGGUGCAGUGAUAUGAAACUCUCUCAGUGAUUUUCAAAAUAUGCAACCCAUAAAUCAUUCACCUUAACCCGGACCCGAAUUUGCAUAAAACCAGAGUCAAUCAUCUCAAAAGGUAAUUUACUCAAAGCCCAAACAAUCCCAGCUGUGUGAAGCACAUAACAAAGUUAUGAAGGUAGGAUUCACAUGGCUUCAGGGUUUGUAAUGGAUGCUUUGCACAGCUGUAAUGAUGAGUGGGUGAGGAUAGUUAAGAAUGAAUGAAGUGUGGGUGGUGGAAAUAUUCACUGGGCAUGUCACGGCCAGAGGAGGAAACACAGGGGCCUCCCAGCCUCCAGGAUGGAAAGGACGUCAAGGCUCCAUGGACAGGGGUCCUACUUAUUUAUUUAUUUCAGCCCUGACACAUUCUCAUUAGGAAGGCAAAAAUGUGAAAUCGAUAGUUUCUCUUGAAUGCAGGAAGCCGACUGUGGCUGCGCAGCAGAGCUGUCUUAUAAUCUGCUUCCAAACGUGUGGGUGCCUCUUGGGUUUCCUCAGAGAUUUUAUGGACCGGUUUCAAAGUUUUCUGUAAAUUCAGGCCAACAAUGUCUGCAUCCCCUACCACAUCAGUCAAAAAUCAGACUGUGCUUCAGAGUCAUGUAAAUUCCUUCUAUAAGAAACAUUUACAUUUUACAAAAUGAAAACUGAGCAGACUACUUCAUGAGGUGAAUUCACCCCUGGUUUGUCUCCCUUGUUACAGUGCAGUUACCACAGGGAUAGGUUGACUAAUAGGUUACCAUUAACAAACAGAAAAAUGAGUAGCACGUAUAACCGAACAUUACAAAGGUUUCGCCCAGGAUUGCCAUGGCACAUGAUAAGAUGGCACAUUGAUAAGAUACUUCAUUCUUACCGUUCCUGAAUUUUCAUGAGACCUUAUCUGUAACUCCGCAAAACCCGAAGCCCGGUUUAUAUUUCUUUAUGGCAUUAUUAUAGGGCACUGUAAGUGUAAUAAAACAAUCUGCUAACUGUUCUCCUUGACUGCUCAUAUUCAUUGCUCCUAGACAGGUUUUCUUGCACAUAUGGUAAAAUAUAUACAACAACUUUCAUAUCUAAGGUCCUAGUAAUUUAAACACAGUCCAUUUCUUUAUUGGCAAAAUAUUCUUUGUAGUUACGACUUGAUUAGGCUGG
ensembl:lncRNA